rnacentral:rRNA from 1 species
GAUGAACGCUGGCGGCGUGCUUAACACAUGCCAGUCGAACGGGAAUUAUUUUAUUGACACUUCGGUCGAUUUAAUUUAAUUCUAGUGGCGGACGGGUGAGUAACGCGUGGGUAACCUGCCUUAUACAGGGGGAUAACAGUCAGAAAUGGCUGCUAAUACCGCAUAAGCGCACAGAGCUGCAUGGCCCAGUGUGAAAAACUCCGGUGGUAUAAGAUGGACCCGCGUUGGAUUAGCUUGUUGGCAGGGUAACGGCCUACCAAGGCGACGAUCCAUAGCCGGCCUGAGAGGGUGAACGGCCACAUUGGGACUGAGACACGGCCCAGACUCCUACGGGAGGCAGCAGUGGGGAAUAUUGCACAAUGGGGGAAACCCUGAUGCAGCGACGCCGCGUGAAGGAAGAAGUAUCUCGGUAUGUAAACUUCUAUCAGCAGGGAAGAUAGUGACGGUACCUGACUAAGAAGCCCCGGCUAACUACGUG